GACGAACGCUGGCGGCGUGCUUAACACAUGCAAGUCGAACGAUGACGCCCGAGCUUGCUCGGUCUGAUUAGUGGCGAACGGGUGAGUAACACGUGAGCAACCUGCCCUUCACUCUGGGAUAACCUCGGGAAAUCGGGGCUAAUACCGGAUAUGAGCUCCUGUCGCAUGGCGGGUGUUGGAAAGUUUUUCGGUUAUGGAUGGGCUUGCGGCCUAUCAGUUUGUUUGUGAGGUAGUGGCUGACCAAGGCGAUGACGGGUAGCCGGCCUGAGAGGGCGACCGGCCACACUGGGACUGAGAGACGGCCCAGACUCCUACGGGAGGCAGCAGUGGGGAAUAUUGCACAAUGGGCGAAAGCCUGAUGCAGCGACGCCGCGUGAGGGAUGACGGCCUUCGGGUUGUAAACCUCUUUCAGCAGGGAAGAAGCGAAAGUGACGGUACCUGCAGAAGAAGCGCCGGCUAACUACGUG
rnacentral:rRNA from 1 species